rnacentral:rRNA from 1 species
GACGAACGCUGGCGGCGUGCUUAACACAUGCAAGUCGAGCGGUAAGGCUCCUUCGGGAGUACACGAGCGGCGAACGGGUGAGUAACACGUGAGCAAUCUGCCCUUCACUUCGGGAUAACUCCGGGAAACCGGUGCUAAUACCGAAUACGACCACUUCAGGCAUCUGAUGGUGGUGGAAAGUUCCGGCGGUGAAGGAUGAGCUCGCGGCCUAUCAGCUUGUUGGUGAGGAAUGGCCCACCAAGGCAACGACGGGUAGCCGGCCUGAGAGGGUGACCGGCCACACUGGGACUGAGACACGGCCCAGACUCCUACGGGAGGCAGCAGUGGGGAAUAUUGGACAAUGGGCGAAAGCCUGAUCCAGCAACGCCGCGUGAGGGAUGACGGCCUCGGUUGUAACU